rnacentral:lncRNA from 1 species
ACUUAACAACCGGUGGCAGCGUCUGUUGGGUGAUGGCCUCUAAUUUUAAGAAGACAAACAUGGCAUCCAGUGCCCAGAGAAAAAGGAUGAGCCCUAAGCCUGAACUUACUGAAGAACAGAAACAGGAAAUCCGGGAAGCUUUUGAUCUCUUUGAUGCUGAUGGAACUGGAACUAUAGACAUGAAGGAACUAAAGGUGGCAAUGAGGGCCCUGGGCUUUGAACCCAAGAAAGAAGAAAUCAAGAAAAUGAUAAGUGAAAUCGAUAAAGAAGGAACAGGAAAAAUGAACUUCAGUGACUUUUUGACAGUGAUGACUCAGAAAAUGUUUUGUGUCCUACUCCAGUCUGAGAAAGACACCAAAGAAGAAAUCCUGAAAGCUUUCAAGCUGUUUGAUGAUGAUGAGACUGGAAAAAUAUCGUUCAAGAAUCUUAAGCGUGUGG